UACGGGGGGGGCAAGCGUUGUUCGGAAUUACUGGGCGUAAAGGGCUCGUAGGCGGCCAACUAAGUCGGACGUGAAAUCCCUCGGCUCAACCGGGGAACUGCGUCCGAUACUGGCAGGCUUGAAUCCGGGAGAGGGAUGUGGAAUUCCAGGUGUAGCGGUGAAAUGCGUAGAUAUCUGGAGGAACACCGGUGGCGAAGGCGGCAUCCUGGACCGGUAUUGACGCUGAGGCGCGAAAGCUAGGGGAGCAAACGGG
rnacentral:rRNA from 1 species